GAAGAGGUAGAGAUGGAAGAUUUUGAUGCAAAUAUCGAAGAACAGAAAGAAGAAAAGAAAGAUGCAGAGGAAGAGGAAAGCGAACUGGGUUACAUUCCGAAAAGCAAAUGGGAGAUGGACACAUCUGAGGCAAAGCUAGUAUGCCAUGUGGAAGAGGUGUGAGCCUUUCUUCAGCCCAAGAAGGAAACUUUAAACAUAUUUGCACAAUAAAAUUUCAAAUUAAACGUUUCAAAAAGGGUGCUCAGACUAGAAAUACAUGCUCUUCUGAAAUUCCAUGUUGCAACUGUAACUCCUGUCAUAUAUACCCAGUGUAUGAGGAAAAGUUCUUGCAGUUUUCACACUGCCCUUCUGUAUUGCUACCUGGCUGUGCUCUGUUGUUGGAACUGAAAUAUGAAAUUUUUACUUUGAAGUAUGUUAAUGUCAAAGUUGAUCGUAUUAAGUUUGGAAAUCCUUUGAGGUUUAUCUAAUAAGUGUGUUGGAGCUUCUUUCUCUUCUGGUAAUACUGUACCCUGUUGAACCAAGAACAGUUUUAUUGUUUGUGGGACUUCGUUGGUUUUCUAAUACCAUAACCUGUGUCCCUGUGCAGUCAGGGGGUCACUUCUUUAAGAUCAUGUAUAAUACGGCCCGUCAUAUACACGUAGAUAGAGCCAUGUGAUUCCAGAAAUUAGAAGACUGGAUCUGUGGAAUCCAUACAUGUUAAAAUUUUGCCAAAAUGAGAUGAUUAAAAUUUUUGUGAGUUUUAUAAACUGUUGCAGUUCGCCUUACUGAUUUUUCAAUAAUCACUUUUAUGGGAAGGG
rnacentral:sRNA from 1 species